rnacentral:rRNA from 1 species
CCUGGCUCAGAUUGAACGCUGGCGGCAGGCCUAACACAUGCAAGUCGUAGCGGCAGCGCGUCGACCACCCUCGGGUGGUCGGAUGGCGGCGAGCGGCGGACGGGUGAGGAAUGCAUCGGAAUCUGCCUCGUUCGUGGGGGAUAACGUAGAGAAACUUACGCUAAUACCGGCAUACGACCUACGGGUGAAAGUGGGGGGACCUUCGGGCCUCACGCGAUGAGAUGAGCCGAUGCCGGAUUAGCUAGUUGGCGGGUAAAGGCCCACCAAGGCGACGAUCCGUAGCUGGUCUGAGAGGAUGAUCAGGCCACACUGGAACCUGAGACACGGUCCAGACUCCUACGGGAGGCAGCAGUGGGGAAUAUUGGACAAUGGGGGCAACCCUGAUCCAGCCAUGCCGCGUGUGUGAAGAAGGCCUUCGGGUUGUAAAGCACUUUUGUUGGGGAAGAAACCGGCCGGGUUAAUACCCUGGUUGAAUGACGGUACCCAAAGAAUAAGCACCGGCUAACUUCGUG